UCGUCUCGAAUAGGUUUCGCA
rnacentral:piRNA from 1 species